AAUGACCGUCGUGCGCGCCUCUACAGCAACAGCGACGACCUGCGCACCGUCCGCCGCCACAGCCGCCGCAAUGGGCCCAACAGCGGAGGCAGCAUCACAGCGGCCCGCGACGCGGUUUCCGGCGGCGGGGCGAGCACGAGUUUUGAAACGUCGUGGAAAUCGCAACAGUCUCGCUUUCGCUGUACACUACCUUAUUGUGGACCAAAUGGGAUUUUCAUUUAUUUUCAAAACAAACAAAUCUCAUUUUAUUUCUUAAUAAAUAAUUAUUCGUAUAAUACAAAUAUAUGAUGUAUAUAAUACGGACAUCAUAUGAAGGUAUGUAACAUUUCACUCUUAUAUCGAUUAUCAUCGAUUUAUAUAUGACGAGGUAGGUACUGCAGUUCUAUAUUAUUUCGUGCAAAAAAAUUUAGUCAACAACCACGAUCUUUUUGAUAGAUAGUUCCACUACAUUGUACAUAACUUAUUUAUUCGAUCAAUAUUUUUAGUUAAUCAAUUAAUUAAGGUUUUACAGUUUAAUACUAAAUUAUUUUAAAUAAAUAUGUAAUAUGAUAUUUUACUAUAUUUAAACAUACCUAUAUAAUUUAUAUCAAAAACGCGUGUAACCUAUAGUGUAUAUAGUGUAUCUUAUAGGUUACUUGCUAAAGUGCAUUAUUUUGUAGAUAAAUUAUUGUUUUUUUUUUUUUAAACAUGGCUGUGAUAAAAUAAUUUUUUGCAAUCCCUAUACUUUUUCCCACCGGUUUUCAUCUAAAAUGUUGUUUGACAAAAAUACCGCCGUGGGACUUUUGAAACUACAGGGCCGGCAAAUUAACUUUUUGUAGAACAAAAAACACAUAGUCGAAAUUUUCAAUUUAUUGUUUUUCAAUUCACUCUAUACAUAAACAUAUUACAUACUACACUAUAUAAUAGCCAGUAUACUGUACUUAUUUAAUGUAUACCUUUACUACUACGACAUAUGCAAACAUACAACUUAACCAUAUUAUACUAACAACAGCUAUUUUUCAUUGAACUGUAUACAACUAUAAUAUCGUGUAUUAUGAAUACAAACAUAAUAUGUGUAACUUUAACGUGUGCUUAAUAUACUUUUGUACAUCAACAAUACUAAUCAAUAUAUUACGAAUCAUGUGGAUUUUUAUUUUAAACAAAAACAGUAUUUACUAACGUAACUGUACAUAAACACAUACAUAUUAACUCUACUGUAUACGUACUUGCUGUAUAAAUAAAUGUAUAUUUUUUAAACUUGUUGUGUUGAAGACUUUUAAUACCUAAUGAAAUUUUUCUAUAGGUAUAAUAUUUACACAAAUAAACUCAAUAUAUUCAUACCUA